AAGGGACACUUAUACUUAUAUCACAUCAGAGAUAUUCUCGAUAGCAGAAUACUCUGGAGUUGAUCACGUUCAAUGAUAAUGUACCCUUACAUCUCAUCUGUAUGCCAAACUAGUGUCUCCACACUCUUUGGUUAAGAGGAUAACCAACCCAUAUGACCUACAGUAACCUAUGCUCGAUAGAGGCUGUCGUCCUUAUUAACAGUCU
rnacentral:lncRNA from 1 species